rnacentral:rRNA from 1 species
UACGUAGGGUGCGAGCGUUAUUCGGAAUUACUGGGCUUAAAGCGUGCGUAGGUGGUUUGUUAAGUCUGCUGUGAAAGCCCCGGGCUCAACCUGGGAAUGGCAGUGGAUACUGGCAAGCUAGAGUGCGGUAGAGGGUAGUGGAAUUCCCGGUGUAGCGGUGAAAUGCGUAGAGAUCGGGAAGAACACCAGUGGCGAAGGCGGCUACCUGGACCAGCACUGACACUGAGGCACGAAAGCGUGGGGAGCAAACAGG